AACGUAGGGGACAAGCGUUAUCCGGAUUUACUGGGCGUAAAGCGCCCGUAGGCGGCCUGACAAGUUGGACGUGAAAGCUCCUGGCUUAACUGGGAGAGGCCGUUCAAAACUGUCAAGCUAGAGUCUGGAAGAGGAGAGCGGAAUUCCCGGUGUAGUGGUGGAAUGCGUAGAGAUCGGGAGGAACACCAGUGGCGAAAGCGGCUCUCUGGUCCAAAACUGACGCUGAGGUGCGAAAGCGUGGGGAGCAAACAGG
rnacentral:rRNA from 1 species